rnacentral:rRNA from 1 species
UAAGUAGAUGGUGAAAGCCUGGGGCUCAACCCCUUCAACAUCAUUUAAACUGCAUAGCUAGAAUAUGGGAGAGGUACCUGGAAUUCCAAGUGUAGGAGAGAAAUCCGUAGAUAUUUGGAGGAACACCGAUGGCGUAGGCAGGGUACUGGCCUAUUAUUGACACUAAGGCACGAAAGCGUGGGGAGCGAACGGGAUUAGAUACCCCGGUAGUCCACGCUGUAAACUAUGGAUGCUA